UUACAGCCACACCAUGUUGAAAUAAACAGUUCCUCUAAGAUCACUGAAGUUAAGCAACACUGAGCCUGUUCAGUACCCAGAUAGGUGACUGCUUGGGAAUACCAGGUGCUGUAAG